rnacentral:rRNA from 1 species
UACGUAGGGUGCGAGCGUUGUCCGGAAUUAUUGGGCGUAAAGGGCUCGUAGGCGGUUUGUCGCGUCGGGAGUGAAAACCCAGGGCUUAACUCUGGGCUUGCUUUCGAUACGGGCAGACCAGAGGUAUGCAGGGGAGAACGGAAUUCCUGGUGUAGCGGUGAAAUGCGCAGAUAUCAGGAGGAACACCGGUGGCGAAGGCGGUUCUCUGGGCAUUACCUGACGCUGAGGCACGAAAGCGUGGGGAGCAAACAGG